rnacentral:miRNA from 1 species
GACGUCGAUAAUCGACGCCAUAAACACGAUCAACUUAGAUGUUUAUGACGUCGAUAUUCGACGUCAUAAACACGAUCAACUUUGGUGUUGAUGACGUCGAUAUUCGACGUCAUAAACACGACCAACUUAGGUGUUCAUGACGUCGACGUUAUAAACACGAUCAACUUUGGUGUUUAUGACGUCAAGAUUUGACGUCAUAAACACGACCAACUUUGGUGUUUAUGACGUCGAUAAUCGACGCCAUAAACACGAUCAACUUAGAUGUUUAUGACGUCGAUAUUCGACGUCAUAAACACGAUCAACUUUGGUGUUGAUGACGUCGAUAUUCGACGUC